AUGUCACGUCGAGGUACUGCAGAAAAAAGAACUGCAAAAUCUGAUCCAAUUUUUCGUAAUCGAUUAGUUAACAUGGUGGUUAACCGUAUUCUGAAAGACGAAAAAAAUCAUUGGCUUAUCAAAUUCUCUAUCGCAGCACCUGAGUGCAACUUAGAGUAA
rnacentral:rRNA from 1 species